UUCACAUGUGGGAAGCCGCCUAUGAAUGGCGCCCAUUUCCUGCUUCCGGGUUCUUCCCGGCCUGAACAAGCCCGCCAAAUUGUCAUAUCUGCCCAGUUACCCGUGACGCUAGCCUAUCAGCUUGUUAGGCGCGCUUCUCUGUGAUUGGAUACUGCUUCCCCUUAUAAGAGGUUGUUCCUGCCCCCAACGGCGGAAGAGGAACCAACGUUGAGGGUGGCGGACCUUGUUAGGUCCGGUUCGCUGUACGUAAUAAAGUUUGAGAGCUGAUCCUGCUCGAGUUUGGUCUCCUGUCUCCCGCAGCUCCGGUCAUCUGGUGGCCCCCGUACGGGGAAUAAAAGACUCAGCGACGUGCCUCUUCGGCCGGGAGGUGCGAUUGCUGUCGCCUGCGGUACGACGGAGGACCUGGCUCAAUAACAACGGAAGGCCGCGAGCGCCUCUUCUCUUCACCCUGAUCAGCUACGUGAGAUACAGCGGUUCCCGGGACAGGAACCAGGCUGCGAGCCGCUGUGGGUCCCAGAAAGAUUGACGCGAGCAGUAAACUCCCCACCAGUUCCUGAUAAAGCACAGGAGGAUAAGCCCUCGGACACAAGUCAACUCGACCCUUCUGGGACCGACGCUCAGCGCCCGAGACCAUCUACAAACUAAAAUGUCUGGUUUGGAGCUUUUUCUAUUCUGUGGGUUCCUAUUAAUCACCCCUGUUCGCACAAAUUUGACCAACACUGUUAUAAAUAGCCAGUUUGUGGGAACGCGUCACCUCCUGGUUCUCCUGGCCCAACCUGACUACUUGGAUCCUGAUUGCCGUGGCCAUCCUAGUGGGGCUUGUGGUUAUUAAAUGCUUGUUAGAUCGCCUCAUACAAACUCAGCAGCAGGUUAAGAUCACAGCUAUGGCAGCCAUGCAAAUGGCAGCAGGUGGCCCAUCAGGCCAGCAGGCCGCCGCAUAUCUCCUUCACAUUGCAGAACAUCAGUUAUAAAAGCUGAGUGGGCAAGCCAAUGACGGGUAAGACGGGAGACGUCCUCCCGGUCAACCUAAGACAGGCUCCACUCAGAUAUAUAUGGCCUUUAAGGCCAGGGGUCCCUCCCGGAGUCAAAUUAUUGGCAUUGAGAUGCGAGACCAAGGGUACUGCAGUGCCAUCUGCCUCAAAGGUUGGGGGGAAGGCAGGAAUGAAUGUCUAUAUGCAUCCAGGUUCGGUUCACAAAAGCCUGGCCCUGCGAAAAAAUGAACCACUCACCUUGAGCAUGGUCCUGGUGCAAGGAUAUGCACAAAACAGGGUGAUGCACAGCAGGGUAUAGACCUCUACAUUCUCUCAUGCCUCGGCCUACAAGGUAGGCCCACUCCUAGGUGUCUAACAGCAACAAGGUCAUAGGCACCUUGGAGGGACCCACAGACCAUCCUAUUUUAAUAAAUAAAAAAGGGGGAGAUGUGGGAAGCCGCCUAUGAAUGGCGCCCAUUUCCUGCUUCCGGGUUCUUCCCGGCCUGAACAAGCCCGCCAAAUUGUCAUAUCUGCCCAGUUACCCGUGACGCUAGCCUAUCAGCUUGUUAGGCGCGCUUCUCUGUGAUUGGAUACUGCUUCCCCUUAUAAGAGGUUGUUCCUGCCCCCAACGGCGGAAGAGGAACCAACAUUGAGGGUGGCGGACCUUGUUAGGUCCGGUUCGCUGUACGUAAUAAAGUUUGAGAGCUGAU